UAUAGAGUGGCGAACGGGUGAGUAACACGUGACCAACCUGCCCCUUGCUCCGGGACAACCCAGGGAAACCUCGGCUAAUACCGGAUACUCCGCGCAGCCCGCAUGGGAGGCGCGGGAAAGCCCAGACGGCAAGGGAUGGGGUCGCGGCCCAUUAGGUAGACGGCGGGGUAACGGCCCACCGUGCCCGCGAUGGGUAGCCGGGUUGAGAGACCGAUCGGCCACAUUGGGACUGAGAUACGGCCCAGACUCC
rnacentral:rRNA from 1 species